GAUGAACGCUGGCGGCGUGCCUAAUACAUGCAAGUCGAGCGAACGGACGAGAAGCUUGCGUCUCUGAUGUUAGCGGCGGACGGGUGAGUAACACGUGGAUAACCUACCUAUAAGACUGGGAUAACUUCGGGAAACCGGAGCUAAUACCGGAUAAUAUUUUGAACCGCAUGGUUCAAAAGUGAAAGACGGUCUUUCUGUCACUUAUAGAUGGAUCCGCGCUGCAUUAGCUAGUUGGUAAGGUAACGGCUUACCAAGGCAGGGAUGCAUAGCCGACCUGAGAGGGUGAUCGGCCACACUGGAACUGAGACACGUUCCAGACUCUUACGGGAGGCCGCAGUAGGGACUCUUCCGCAAUGGGCGAAAGCCUGACGGAGCACCGCCGCGUGAGUGAUGAAGGUCUUCGGAUCGUAAAACUCUGUUAUUAGUGAAGAACAUAUGUGUAAGUAACUGUGCACAUCUUGACGGUACCUAAUCAGAAAGCCACGGCUAACUACGUG
rnacentral:rRNA from 1 species